UGGGUCCAUAGCUCAGUGGUAGAGCAAUUGACUGCAGAUCAAUAGGUCACCGGUUCGAACCCGGUUGGGCCCUUAUCUUUGUUUUACAUUGACUUUUUAUUUCUUUUCUCUUUGUAGUGUUUUUUUUGAAAUAAUCAUUUUAUUUAUUUAGUCAACAACAACGGGUCCAUAGCUCAGUGGUAGAGCAAUUGACUGCAGAUCAAUAGGUCACCGGUUCGAACCCGGUUGGGCCCUUCUAUAUUUUUAUUUUUCAUUAAUUGCGCUUAUUUGUUUUUUCUUUGUAGAGCAUUAUUUUGAAGUAAUUAUUUUAUUAUUCAUUUAACAAUAAUGGGUCCAUAGCUCAGUGGUAGAGCAAUUGACUGCAGAUCAAUAGGUCACCGGUUCGAACCCGGUUGGGCCCUUAUC
rnacentral:tRNA from 1 species